rnacentral:rRNA from 1 species
UUAAAUUGAAGAGUUUGAUCAUGGCUCAGAUUGAACGCUGGCGGCAGGCCUAACACAUGCAAGUCGAACGGUAACAGGAAACAGCUUGCUGUUUCGCUGACGAGUGGCGGACGGGUGAGUAAUGUCUGGGAAACUGCCUGAUGGAG